AUGUGGGUGGUGUGUGGGAUGUAUAGGGCCCGUGUGUGGGAUGUACAGAGCCCAUAGGUUGUGUCCAUAGGGGCCGGCGGAGCAGGGGGUGGUCGUUGCCAUCCUGCGGGCGCUGUUGGGGGACAACGGGGACCCCCCCGGGCCCUGCGCCCCCAGCCCAAGCGGCCUGGCCAGCGUGUCCCGCGCCCUGAACACCUACAGCCGCUUCUGGAGCUGCCUGCGCUGCGCCGAGCCCCAGGAGGAGAAGGAGGAGGACGAGGAGGAUGAGGAAGGUUUGGGGGGCCCGGAGGAAGACGAGGAGCCCCCGGGGACCCCCCUCUAGGAUGAGGAGGAGGAGGAGGAGGAGGAGGAGCCGUCAUGGCCGCAUUCGGCCGCCAGCACCGCGCUGGUGCACGACCCCAGGAUGGAGGAGCACGUCAACCCCUGGGACAGCCACCACCCCGAGCGGCCGCAGCGCGUGCGCAGGAUCCUGGAGCGGCUGGAGGAGCUGGGGCUGGCCCAGCGCUGCCUGCGCCUGCGCGCCAGACACGCCACCCUGGCCGAGCUGCACGCCUGUCACACGUGAGACCCACGGGGA
rnacentral:lncRNA from 1 species